rnacentral:rRNA from 1 species
GGGAGCGUAGGUGGCUCGAUAAGUCAGAUGUGAAAUCCCCGGGCUUAACCUGGGAACUGCAUCUGAUACUGUUGAGCUAGAGUAUGUGAGAGGAAGGUAGAAUUCCAGGUGUAGCGGUGAAAUGCGUAGAGAUCUGGAGGAAUACCGAUGGCGAAGGCAGCCUUCUGGCAUAAUACUGACACUGAGGCUCGAAAGCGUGGGUAGCAAACAGGAUUAGAUACCCUGGUAGUCCACGCCGUAAACGAUGUCUACUAGUCGUUGGGUCCCUUGAGGACUUAGUGACGCAGCUAACGCAAUAAGUAGACCGCCUGGGGAGUACGGCCGCAAGGUUAAAACUCAAAUGAAUUGACGGGGGCCCGCACAAGCGGUGGAGCAUGUGGUUUAAUUCGAUGCAACGCGAAGAACCUUACCUGGUCUUGACAUAUCUAGAAUCCUGCAGAGAUGCGGGAGUGCCUUCGGGAAUUAGAAUACAGGUGCUGCAUGGCUGUCGUCAGCUCGUGUCGUGAGAUGUUGGGUUAAGUCCCGCAACGAGCGCAACCCUUGUCCUUAGUUACCAGCGGGUUAAGCCGGGAACUCUAAGGAUACUGCCAGUGACAAACUGGAGGAAGGCGGGGACGACGUCAAGUCAUCAUGGCCCUUACGACCAGGGCUACACACGUGCUACAAUGGUAGGUACAGAGGGCAGCUACACAGCGAUGUGAUGCGAAUCUCAAAAAGCCUAUCGUAGUCCAGAUUGGAGUCUGCAACUCGACUCCAUGAAGUAGGAAUCGCUAGUAAUCUCGGAUCAGAAUGCCGCGGUGAAUACGUUCCCGGGCCUUGUACACCCGCCGCGUCA